GAGGUAGCAGUUGGGUUCUGGCGAUGGCAGGUGACGAGAUCCGUGAUUUUGGUUGUGGUGGAGCUCGUUGGAUGUAGCUAGUCAGAUAGGCGGAGAAGCUGUUGAUGUGGGUGUGUGAGUGUGUCUCUGUGUGUUUGUGUGUGUGUGAGUGUCUCUGUGUGUGUGUGUGUGUGUGUGAGUGUGUCUCUGUGUGUGUGUGUGUGUGUGUGUGAGUGUAUUGGGGAUGUGUUGCUGCUUUUUCCUGAAGCGAUGGGGUCAGCUCCUUCUGGAAGUGUGUCAGGAAUGGGUUUAGUGUAGUAUAGGGAAGAGGGAAACGGAGGGGAAUGCUAUCUUACCAUACUGUUUAUUUUAUUUUAUUUUAUUAUCGUUAUUAUUUUUCUCUUGUCUUGCUCAUCGCCCUCUCCUUCGACGUCCUGUGUGGGCAGCUCUCCUGCAGUGCAUUGGCGUUUGUUGGGUUGGAUUUUUAGGGGUAAGAAUAUUUAGGGUCUGAUCCUCCGGUGUUGGCUUUGAUGCGUCCUUGUCUCGGUAGCGGUACGUUGGGACAGUGUACCUGGUGUGGGUUAGUAGGGUGGCAGCGUCAGGAACUGGUGUAACAUGAAAUGCUUGAUGUCGACACCGCCCUGGGGGUGAUGAGAGGAGUGUCGUGAUUGGCUUCUAGGGGGCUGUUAUCGAGGGUCGAAACCUUAUUUUGGGGGUUUAAGUUGUUCAAUUAAGUGUUACAUUAGGUUUGAAUUUCCUUAGUCAUGGAUAUUGGCAAAGUUGUAAAGUUCUCGUGGUGAAGGUGGUCUCUGCACAUUAUUCCGUCCAGAAUGAGAUCAAGGAUGCGUUUGUUUUUUGUCCCGGCGCUAUUCAUUGAAGACUGAUUCUGGGACAACGAUCAGGAGAUGAGUUUCUUUGUUUGCAUUUCAGCGAACGAGAGCAGCCUUUCAUUAGCAUACCUCGACGGAAUCGCGACCUUAACUCGCGUAUGUAUGUCUGGGCAACGUCAGGUGCACACAGUUGUCGUCGACAAAAUUCGAUUAGCAGCUGCAGUCGUCCUCGACAUUAGUGACCCACCAGGCAGCUCGUCACAGUUGCAAGUGCACGGAACUCCUUAACAGUAAACCUGUAUACUGGGUUGACAUGUUUCUCAGGAUUGCAUUGGAAAUCUGGGUACUUUAUGUGAAGGUUCGGUAAAGAGACCUGAGUCGGCAGGUUUGGAUUUGGUGGCGUUGAUAAGGUGGGCUAGGCAACCAUGGGCGAAGGUUGGUUCUCAGUUACAUGUUCGCCGUCGGUCCCAUCGGAGGGGGCGGCACGUUUCAACGGUUCCUAAAUCUUAGUUCAAGGGUUGCAACAGUUGCAGGGAAGAAUUGUCACGGCUUUUCUCGCUUGGUCGCAGUGCGGAGCAGCAAAUGUGACAGAAUGCCAGAGAGGUCGUGGCAUUUACUGCUGGUUAUACCAGUACUUCUAAGCUUGUACGAAGCCGCAGUUUCCGCUACUCCACAGGAAGCUGCUGUGUUGGCACAGCUUAAGGAUAUCUGGAGUAUAGGAGACAACAAAGUGAAUCGCUGGAAUGAAAGUGUUGAUGCUUGCAAUGGGCCUUGGCCUGGCAUCACUUGUGGGCUCAAAGAUGCAAUUACAGUUCCAAAAAAGUGCCUUAUCUCUAACACUUCUUGCAAGGUCACUCACUUGGAUUUAUCGAACAGUAGCCUCACCGGGGAGAUUCCGUUCAUCCUGGGAGGCUUGUCUAACUUGCUGUCUCUGGAUCUACACGGAAACCAACUUGUAGGAGAGGUUGCUACACAACUUUUCUACGGCUUUCCACAUCUCUGCCACGUUGACUUCUCCUACAAUUACUUCAAUGAUACCAUUCCAAAGCUCAAUCGUGCUAAAAUAGAGGAUUCAAAUUGGGAACACAACUGUUUCUCAGAGUACGGUGGAUGCCGACUACUACCUAACAUGCGUCCCUUGUGUGAGUGCCAAAACAUGACUGCACUGUUGCUCCCCAAGUGUCCUUCAUGGGUUCGAAAAAACCCUAUUGUCCUUUAUGUCCUAGUGGGUGUUUGUCCCUUCAGUGUAAUCCUCUGCAGCUUCCUCGUUGUAAUGUUUUGCUUCUUGCGGAGACAACGGAAGAAUCCAAUCAUUAGGAGGACGUGUUCGUCGAAGAUUCAGUCUGUCGAGUGCAGGCCGUUCACAUACCAAGAGCUAGAGGAAGCGACAAAUAAUUUUCAUGAUAACCGGUUACUUGGCUGCGGUGGCUCUGGAAGUGUUUACCAAGGCAGGUUCGCUAAUGGCUCAUGCAUGGUCGUCAAGCAGUUGGUGAAGGCAGCAGAUUAUGGAGACACUGAUUUCUGGAAGGAGGUUCUUACUAUCGGGGCCAUUCAUCACCCUAAUGUGGUUCGACUUCGUGGAUAUUGUAAAGAAUCUCGAGGUCUAGAACGUCUACUAGUGUACGAUUACAUGCCUAAUGGUUCCGUCCUGGACGCUUUGCUCAGCAAUGAUGUCCAUUUACUGCCUUGGAGUCGACGGUACAGCAUUGCUCUGGCAACAGCUUGUGGGUUGGAAUAUCUUCAUGAACACUGCUCGCCGCGCAUCAUCCACAAGGGUGUGAAGCCGAGCAACAUCCUUCUUGACAGAAAUUUCACUGCAAGGGUCGGUGACUUUGGUCUUGCCAAAAUUGGCUGUUCAGAGCAAACCCACAUCGGACCACAAGUGUUUGUAGACCCAGAUUACGUACUGACUGGAAGGCUGACAGAUAAGAGUGACGUUUUCAGCUUUGGGAUGUUUCUGUUGGUCCUAAUCAAGGGUCGACAGGUUCUUGAGACUCCAGGUAAAGCGCAGCUUUUCUCCAGAAUACAAGUGCUUGCGAAAGCUGAUGAUCCCUCCGAUUUUGUGGAUCCGCGCCUGAGAGGUGUCUUUGACAAAACGCAAAUUACUCUUUGCGCACAAAUUGCCCUGCUUUGCACAAGAAUUCUUCCAGAUCUACGACCAACUAUGGGCGAAAUACGGCGAAUCUUAGAUGGGACUGCGAAUAUACCUUUGACUACAAGUUUGAUUAACAGCCCAGGUUCUUCCUCCCGUGGCAGCUUCGCUUCCGAGUGCCCUACCCCGUCCAUUGGAAGCUGUUAUGGACACCGUGCUGGAAGCUUCAUUUCUGAUUGCUACAUGUCCUCCAGCAUUUGCCAUGGAGGAUCUGACAGCGUCUAAUCAGAUAGUUCCAAAUUACCAACUUCCUUGACUAUGGAUUGCCUCGUGAGAACAGUGCACACGCAGCUGCCGAGGAUAUCUUGAAGUCGUUAUGAAAGUGAUUUGUCAUUAAAGAAUAAGGCUCAGCGAUUGAAUUGGAGCUCAUUUUAGCUCUCUGAUAGCAAGAAUCAAUAGUGGAAAUGACUUCACAUAUCUGUCGAUCGAUUGACCUUUUGUGACAUCCGAGCUAUUAUCCUUAUCUACAGCAACACUACAGGUGAUCUGAUGUAUUGCCAUUCGAACCUUCCCAUUGGCCUGACAUGACAGUAUGCGGCAAGGCUAAUCUUGGGUGGAAUGUCUCGAAGCAUGUCAAGCAUGUCACGACACGAAACUAAGUAUUGCCCUGAAUGUUCUGAAGUUAACGAAAUUUUGCCUGAGACCGCGUUCCUUUGUAUUUUAGACGUCGAUUGACUCACUUCCAGGCCUAUCGAUGCGAGCGCUGUUCAAUUGGAAACGAAGAAGAUGUGAUGUAGAAAGGAUCAAUUCCUUCAUGUCUUAAGCGUGGUGAUUUUAAUCAACAAUCUCAAGGCAUAUUCAUUUUGUUGCAAGUGGAGUGAAGCUUUGGGAUCUAUAGGUAUUUGAUAGUUUGCUAGUGCUUUUGAUGGUUCAAUACCGAAGUAUAUAUAUACUAAGGCGUAAUCUGAUAGAAUGAUGCAUCAGACAGAUGGAUGUAUUGAUACGGUUUCAAGCCCAAGUCAUUGGCAGGACAAAGUUUUCAUUUUUACCUCACAUUUUUAUAUAUUUUUCAUGUGUGAUUUCAUUUGUA